rnacentral:rRNA from 1 species
GAUGAACGCUGGCGGCGUGCCUAAUACAUGCAAGUCGAGCGAACAGACGAGGAGCUUGCUCCUCUGACGUUAGCGGCGGACGGGUGAGUAACACGUGGAUAACCUACCUAUAAGACUGGGAUAACUUCGGGAAACCGGAGCUAAUACCGGAUAAUAUAUUGAACCGCAUGGUUCAAUAGUGAAAGACGGUUUUGCUGUCACUUAUAGAUGGAUCCGCGCCGCAUUAGCUAGUUGGUAAGGUAAUGGCUUACCAAGGCAACGAUGCGUAGCCGACCUGAGAGGGUGAUCGGCCACACUGGAACUGAGACACGGUCCAGACUCCUACGGGAGGCAGCAGUAGGGAAUCUUCCGCAAUGGGCGAAAGCCUGACGGAGCAACGCCGCGUGAAUGAUGAAGGUCUUCGGAUCGUAAAACUCUGUUAUUAGGGAAGAACAAAUGUGUAAGUAACUAUGCACGUCUUGACGGUACCUAAUCAGAAAGCCACGGCUAACUACGUG